AUUGAACGCUGGCGGCAUGCUUUACACAUGCAAGUCGAACGGUAACAGGCCGCAAGGUGCUGACGAGUGGCGGACGGGUGCGUAAUGCAUCGGAACGUGCCCAGUCGUGGGGGAUAACUACUCGAAAGAGUAGCUAAUACCGCAUACGAGCUAUGGAUGAAAGCGGGGGACCGUAAGGCCUCGCGCGAUUGGAGCGGCCGCUGUCAGAUUAGGUAGUUGGUGGGGUAAAGGCUCACCAAGCCAACGAUCUGUAGCUGGUCUGAGAGGACGACCAGCCACACUGGGACUGAGACACGGCCCAGACUCCUACGGGAGGCAGCAGUGGGGAAUUUUGGACAAUGGGCGCAAGCCUGAUCCAGCAAUGCCGCGUGCAGGAAGAAGGCCUUCGGGUUGUAAACUGCUUUUGUACGGAACGAAACGGCUCUGGUUAAUACCCGGGGCUAAUGACGGUACCGUAAGAAUAAGCACCGGCUAACUACGUG
rnacentral:rRNA from 1 species